GAUGGUAGGAGUGCCACCCUCCUCUGCUCCCAUCAAGUAUUUUUGCCAAAAAAAAAAAAACCAAAAAUCAAACCUGAAUCAGAUCAUGCUUCUUGAUUUAGUUGUACUAGUUCACAGGAAAUCCAGGGCACAAUAGAAACAUGUUAAACACAUCAUGAGGAGACAACCAGAAAAUCCAAAAUGCAGGAAACUCCGAAGGACAAAUGAUUUGGUAGUUUGGAAUAAAUUACAAGAAAAAUUAAAGAGAUGAAGAAUGUUUAGACUGAAAGAGAUUUCAGAGGCUGUCCAUCAAAUGCAAUGAGUGGAUGUUAUUUGAAUCCUGAUUCAAGCGAAGUGUAAACAAAACGUAUGAGACAAAUGGGGAAAUUUGUACACUGACUGAAUAACUGAUGAUAUUAAGGAAUGGUCAACGUUUUUAGGAGUGACAAUGGUAGUACGGUUGUGUUGAUGCAGGAUUUUUGCUUCUUCACUCAGCUACAUCUGGGUUCUUGUCUCACCAUCAGGAAGAAUUAGGCACGCAGACAUCGAAGAGUGAGUGGAGUAGAAUGUAUUAAGCAAAAGGAAAGCUCUCAGGAAAAAGAGGGGAUGUGGGGGGUGGUUCUCCUAUCUGAAGACAGGAAAGUUUCCCCCAAUAUAGCUGAGCCCAGGGCUUUCUUAUGGGCCCAGAAUACAGAGCGUGUGCUGAUUGGUUUGUGAGUAUGCAAAAAAGAUCAAAGCGAAGACUCUACUCAAAGGUGGGCACAACAGUGUAGGGGAAAAAGUAGGUAUAUGUAAAAUAGGUGAAAGAUAGGGACCAAUCAGAGGAAAGCACAUCAAAUGGGAAGGCGGGUUCUCAAUCCAUUCUGAGGAUUUACCUGGGACAGUUUCCAGCUUGAAGGUUGGGUUUCACUGGGAACCUGCCCCUAUCUGCCUAGGCAUUUGCCUGCCUCUCGCCUCUAUCAGUGUGUGUAAACAAGUCCCAAUCUUUUAUAUAUACUGAAAUAUUUACUGAUAUAAAUACUGAAAUACUUACAGAUAUGAUGACAGGCCUGGGAUUUGCUCCAGAAUUGCCCAGUGGAAAGAUGGGGAGCAAGGAAUAUACAGAUGAAACUAGAUUGGUCAUGAAUUGAGUUUCGCUAGAGCUGGGUGAUGGCUACUUUGGUGUCCAUUGUACUAUUGAUUGUAUAAGUUUGACAUUCUCCAUAAAAAGGAUAAGCAAGAAUACAUUCUCAGAAGAAAAAGACAAGUGAAAAAUCACCAAAGGUCCUGGGCAGGUGUUUUGAAGUGUCAACGAACAGAGUAGAUUGCAGGAUAGGGAGGUGGGGAACUGAGUGGGAAAACCUAACUUGAGGCCAGACUACAUUUAAAGCAAUUUGAGGACUUCCGAGUGGGAAAGUCCAAGUAGGGAAAUGGCGAUAUGAAGAUGGAGCUUGGGAGAGACGUUUGUAGCUCUGCACUUAGGAUAAUGAAAGCCACAAACAUAAAGAAGCGUUCAGGGGGCAGAGAUACCGUUGCACCACAGGGAAUGAACCAACUAGGAAAGGAAAAAAAAGAAAGCCUGUUGAGCUCAUAAAGGAGAUAAUUAGCCCAAGCUCCUACCUACAUUUUACUUUUGUUUUAGAAAACCAAUAAACACCUCUCAGAAAUGGAGCUCCAUUUCACUCUUGCCACCUAGAGACUUUAAAAAACUCGGUGGCUCACGCCUGUAAUCCUAGGACUUUAGGAGGCCGAGGCGGGUGGAUCACGAGGUCAGGAGAUCGAGACCAUCCUGGCUAACAUGGUGAAACCCCAUCUCUACCAAAAAUACAAAAAUUAGCCGGGCGUGGUGGUGGGUGCCUGUAGUCCCAGUUACUUGGGAGGCUGAGGCAGGAGAAUGGCGUGAACCUGGGAGGCGGAACUGGCAGCGAGCCGAGAUGGUGCCACUGCACUCCAGCCUGGGCGACAGAGUGAGACUCCGUCUCAAAAAACAAAAACAAAAACAAAAAAACUGUCUUUUUCCAGUUAAGGUGAAAUAGUUCAGAACAAUGUAUUUUAAGGAGAUAAUCAGGCUCUGUCAUCUCUGUAACUUGCAACCCUAACUUCCCUUUGGAAGUUGUGCAAUGCUAUUUUGAAAUGGUUUCAAAAGCUGUUUAGACCUGAAGCUGGCUCUUUGGUCUGUGUGCCCAACUUCAUUCCGCACCGGGUUUGGGCCAAACACUAAAGUGGCCUUCACUGGACUCAAGCAGGAGGUGGCUGACAGCUCUGCUUCUCAACAAGAAUCCACACAAGGGAGCCAGGUGGGAAAACACCAGAUUCUCCAAUACUGUUCUCCAUCCUGAUUACCUUGAGCAUGAGCACCAUGGUGUUGGAGGGCCUUGCCUCUCCAGUAUUCUUUCUCCUCCAAUUAAUUUGAGUAGUCACUAUGCUUUGUGUGCAUGGAGAAGUCUAUAGAAGAAGUGAUGUUAUUUUAAACUUUGAUUGUUAUCUGCCUAAGAGUGCACAUCUUGCUUUCAAUGGUUGAGUUACUCUACACAAAUAUGCUUGUAGCAAGAAUGGAACAAACGGAUAACCCAGGGGAAUGACACGCAAAUAGCCUCCCAGAGCCAUGUGGUUUUAAACACAAAGGUUAGGAAUUUGAACUUAGUAGUCUUAAAAUAGACAAGCACAGAAGGGGACAUGGCAGAACUGCUUGCCCAUAGUUCAAAUACUUGACUAUUUCAAUGCAGCAUACUAUAUUAGAAUUAUCUGUGUACACGUGUAUUUCUUUUGCUAGGCCAUAUUUUAGAUCAGGACUGCAUGUUUAUUGCCAGAAAAAUGCCUGGCUCCUCACAGGGUGUCCAACAUGACCCAAUCAAUAAACACCUAAAUGAAUGCACAAAUAGCUUUGAAGAUACAGUCUUUUAGGAUGCAGAAAUCAUAAAUACGACUGAGAUGCAGGCCAUCCUUUCAAAAAUCUCUUCAAAACAGGACACACAUAUUCAUUCCAUCACUUAAAGCAUUUGUUUUUAAAACCACAUGGGAUUCCAAUGUCACUGAAAUAGCAAUACUUUCUCUUACUAGCAUCAUGAUUGAGGAAAAUCAAUGAGAUAUAAAUGAGAAGUACUCCCAAUGUUCCCCAAUGGAAAGAGGAACAGCUGCUAUUUCAGAGACCACAAAGAGGAAAAGUAAAAAUAGUUAUUUCCUCCUGCAAGUCUGUCUCCUACACUUAACUCGGGGCCUGUUCUUUCCAAGGCAUUGAGAGAAAAUGGGCUGCCCCUUCUACACUCAAAUCAACAGGCUUCCUCAAAUUAAGUUCAGCAAUUAGAAGGCAGAGUGGGCUGCUGUGACAGCUCUCAGUCCCGAUCACAGGCCAGUGACCACGGCUCACGCCCCUGCAAAGCAUUUUCCCAGCAUCUGCAUGCCAUGUGCUUCUGUCUUGCUUGUCCCCAUUCAUCCCCUUCAGGCUUCAAGGCAAAGCAAGAUAGGAACACAAGCCUGCCUUCUUUCGUACAAAGUAUUUUUCCCACCUGAGAUGUUAGAUCUUAAAAGAGGGUGACCUGGCCGGGCACAGUGGUUCACACCUGUAAUCCUAGCACUUCGGGAGGCUGAGGUGGGCGGAUCACCUGAGGUCAAGAGUUCGAGACCAGUCUGGGCAACAUGGUAAAACCCUGCCUCUACCAAAAACCCAAACAAUUAGCUGGGCAUGGUGGUGCAUGCCUAUAGUUCAAGAGAAUCGCUUAAAUGCGGAAGGUGGAGGUUGCAGUGAGCCUAGAUGUUGCCAUUGCACUCCAGCCUGGGCUGCAAGACUCAAACUCCAUCCAACAACAACAACAACAAAAAGAGGGUGACCUAAGAAUUCUGCCAAAGAGAAUUCCCAAUGAUUUAUUAUUACUAUAAUUGCCCUUUAUGGAUUUUCAUAUAAUGUAGAGACCUGUAGGAUGAAAUGACCUCAAAGACCAUUUAGUAAAAUAUCUUAUUUUUUUGAGACAGGAUCUCACUCUGUCACCCAGGCCGGAGUACAGUGGCGCAUCAUGGCUCACUGAGCCUUGACCUCCCAGGCUCAAGUGAUCCUCCCACCUCAGCCUCCCAAAUAGCUGGGACCACAGGAACACACCACCAUACCCAGCUAAUUUUUUGACUUUUUGUAGAGAUGGGGUCUCACUAUGUUGCCCAGGCUGUUAUUGAACUCCUGGGUUCAAGUGAUCCUCCCAUCUCAGCCUCCCAAAAGGCUGGGAUUACAGGUGUGAGCCACCAUACCUAGCCAAUAUCUUCAUUUUAAAAAUGACAAUAUUAUCACCCAAAGUCUACAGUUUACUUUAGGGUUCACUCUUGGUGUUGCACAUUCUAUGGGUUUGGACAAAUGUAUAAUGACAUGUAUCCAUCAUUAUGGUAUCAGGGUAUUUUUAUUGCCCUAAAAAUCCUCUGUGCUUUGCCUAUUCAUCCCUCCCUCCUAAUCCCUGAUCUUUUUCCUGUCUCCAUAGUUUAAGUGAUAAUGAUGUGUGUAGGUUAAUCAAUUAUACCAAAUGUAUCACCCUGGUGGGGGUUGUUGACAUAAAGGGAGGCUUUCUUUCCCAUCUUCAGCUGCUCCUCAUCCCUAAGGGUGAAGCAUUUCAUUCAGCACCUCAUCUAUGAGGCUUUCUUUGGGCAGCAUGAAUCCCUCCCUCAGAUUUCUGAACGCUGAAUACUUGUAAAAAACACUAUGAUAGAAUUUGUAAGUAUUGCUGUUACUUAUUAGCCCUCCAAUCAGACUGAGUUCCAUCAUAGCAGGAUUGGGUCAUAAUCAACUUCGUAUUUCCAGAAACAAACUCCAUGAGAGGGUGAAGGGUAUGUACUCAAAAAAAAUGCAGACAGAACACAGAUCUAACAUUUCUUUUCUCCACAGUACAGUUUGACACUAGAAAACAUUAUAAAAUAAACAUAAAUAUG
rnacentral:lncRNA from 10 species